AUUGAACGCUGGCGGCAGGCCUAACACAUGCAAGUCGAGCGAGAGGCGGACGGGUGAGUAAUGUAUGGGGACUGCCCCCUAGAGGGGGAUAAAUCUUGGGAAAGGUGUCUAAUAUCCCACAUUCUAGGAGAACCCAUAUGGGAUUUGCUAGUAGGGGUGGUAAUGGCUCACAUAGGGGACGCGCCCUAGCUGGUCUGUGAGGAUGAUCAGCCACACUGGAACUGAGACACGGCCCAGACUCCUACGGAGGCAGCAGUGGGGAAUAGUGCACAAUGGGCGCAAGCCUGAUGCAGCCAUGCCGCGUGUAUGAAGAAGGCCCUAGGGUUGUAAAGUACUUUCAGUCAGGAGGCGUUACCGGCAGAAGAAGCACCGGCUAACUCCGUGCCAGCAGCCGCGGUAAUAC
rnacentral:rRNA from 1 species